CUCACGUUCUCUCCAAAAGAACCCUAAUUUCGUUUUCCCCCAAUUUCUUCUUCCCUCAAUUUCUUGAUGAAAUCAUUUAGCUAGCAAUUCAACACAACGUUUUGGUGCUACAAUCGCAAUUCAAUUCAACGUUUCGGGGCUACAAUCGCAAUUCAUCUCAGCGUCGCAAAUUCAAAUCAGCAUCGCAACUCAACGUUUCAUAUUCUCGUAAUCGUUGGCUUCUUACUCGAUAUCAUUGGGUUGUUUAUAGAUAUCGCUUGACAUUGCUUUGAUUUCCAAGUUCUACAAAGCUAAAAAGUAAGUUCAAAUAUGUCUACCGAUGGCGAUGAACCCGUUAUUCAAAUUGAGGAUUCAGUUGACAGUUCAGUCCCUAGUUCGAAAAGAGCAAAAACUUCUAUAGCUUGGGAAUGUUUUGAAAAGUUUGUUGAUGAUGAAGGACUCCCAAAGGCCAAAUGCAAAAAUUGUAAUAAAAUUUACAUGGCUAGAGAUGGUGGUGGCACGUCAAAUUUGAAAAAACAUGCGGCGAUUUGUGUUGGAAGAGGAAAUGGAUCAUCUUAUCCGCCACUGAAUCAAGAAAUGUAUAGGGAAAGAAUUUCUGAGGUAAUUGUUAAACACAAUUAUCCUUUUUGUUUUGUUGAACAUGAAGGGAUAGUUAACUUACUUAGUUUUUUGCACCCUGAUGUUAAGUCCAUGACUAGAAAUACUGCAAAGUCUGAUGUUCUUAAGGUGUUUAGAAAAGAAAAAGAAAACUUAAAAUCCUAUUUGCAGUCAAUUCCAGGAAAAAUUUGUUUAACAUCUGAUCUAUGGUCUGCAAUAAAUACUGAUGAAUAUAUGGUUCUGACUGCACACUUUGUUAAUAGGAAUUGGGAAUUAGAGAAAAAAGUUUUGUCCUUCAUUCAUUGUCCACCACCUCAUAGCGGUUUUAAUUUGGCUGAGAAGUUAAUAAGUUUGUUAAAGGAGUGGGGUAUAGAGAAAAAAGUAUUCACGAUUACUUUAGAUAAUGCAUCUAACAAUGAUGUUAUGGUGAAUAUAUUAAAAAAAACAUUUAUCAUCAGGAUUAGGAUUGACAGCCGAGGGAGCAUAUUUUCAUGUUAGAUGUGGAGCACACAUUUUGAACUUAAUAGUUCAUGAUGGUUUAAAGGUUAUAGAUGAAUCUUUAGAAAAGAUAAGGCUGUGUGUGAAAUAUGUAAGGGGCUCAGAAGCUCGAAAGAUAAAGUUUGCAUCUUGUUUAAAGCAACUUUCAAAUGUGACUUCUAAGCAAGUUCGUCAAGACUUACCUACUAGGUGGAAUUCCACUUAUCUGAUGCUUGAGACUGCUAUAGGUCAACGAGAAUCCUAUACGCUCCUAAGUGAUAUUGAUCCCUAUUUUGAUUGUUGCUUAUCAAACGAGGAGUGGGAUGAGGUAAAAACCAUAGCUGAUUUUUUGAAGCCAUUUUACGAUAUCACGGUGUUAUUUUCGGGUAGUUCUUAUCCAACCGCCAACCUCUAUUUUAGUGGUGUGUGGAGAAUUCACAUGAAAAUCAAGGAAGUUGCAUGUGUUGUUCAUAGUGAGUUUGAAAAACAAAAUCAAUUAUGUUGCAUGGCUAGAAGAAUGGGGAAAAAGUUUGAUAAAUAUUGGAAUUCUUAUAGUGUUGUUCUAUCAUUUGCUGUCAUCUUGGAUCCUAGAUAUAAGUUGCAGUUUGUUGAGUGGUGCUAUGUGAAGUUGUUAGGUGAUGAGGGAGUACAAGUUGCAAAGUUGAUCUCUGAUAAGUUGAAAGUUUUUUUCAAGAAUAUCUCAAGUCCUCAAAUGAAGAAAGCACUUCAUCUUCACAAAGAUCAAUUAGAGGUAGUCCAAACAUUCCCUCAAAUGACUUGCAAGAUUUUGGGAGUUACACAAGUAAAUUGUGUGAACCGUCAAGAGAAGAGUCUGAUUUGGAAGCUUAUUUGAAUGAAAAAAAAAUUGAUCAUGAGCAAUAUGCUGAUUUGGAUGUUUUGCAAUAUUGGAAAGCAAAUGAGGGUAAAUAUCCCAAACUUGCUAUAUUGGCACGUGACCUUUUGAGCAUUCCAAUCACUACAGUUGCAUCAGAAUCAGCAUUUAGUAUAGGUGGACGUAUACUUGAUAAGUAUCGAAGCGCUCUUAAAUCUGAUAAUGUUGAAGCAUUGUUGUGUACACGUGAUUGGCUUUGUGAAAUUCCAGCUGCAUUUGAUAUUGAUGGACCCGAUUUUGUUGAAGACCUUUCAACCUUCUUUUCCACAACAUGAGGUUACUGGAAGUUGCCAUCUAUCUUGGGAGAGCAUUAUACGAAUAUGGUACGUUCUUUAACUUGAAGAUGAGCAAUGAUGAGAAUGGCAUGCAAAGAAGAGGUCGAAAGGUGAAGAAAUUGAGUGGCUCAAAUCAGUUGGAAUUCUCUUGUAGCUUAAGGACUUUGAUUUUAUGCAACUCGAAUUCAACUUGUUUCAACUUGGGAUAUGUAGCUAGUAGUCUAGUACUGUAUGUAAUCUUGAAUUUGAAUCUUGUUUCACUUAGAAAUUCUCUUUUGUAAUUCAAGAACUUGAUGUAAUUGAAAUCGAAAGAUUUGUACUAAUUUUGUAUCACUUUUUCUAAACUUAUUAACAUU